rnacentral:rRNA from 1 species
AUGUGGCCGUCAGACAGGAUUCUCGUUGAACUUGGGAAAGACACUACAAGCAGCAGAGAGAAUGAGAUCUACUUUGAUGGCUGGGAUGGUCUCGGGGCAUCUGCCGUCCUGCAAUCCGUAGCCAAACGCCUUGGAGCGUCAAAUGAGCAGUCAAUGAGGCCUGCAGAGCUGCAAUUUGAGAAAAUCAUCCACAUUGACUGCUCAAAGUGGGAGAGCAGAAGAGCAAUGCAGAGGGAAAUAGCAGAGCAGCUGAACCUUCCCAAUUGGGUGAUGGAGAUGUUGGACAAACAAGAUGAGGAGGAUGAUUUCAAUGGGUUAGACCAGGGCUCCCGAACUGAGAUAGCACAAGUUGUCAGAGAGAUCUAUCAAACCACACAGAAUCACAGAUUCUUGGUAAUCCUGCACAAUGGAAGCAGUGAGGAGAUUGAUAUAUUCGAUUUUGGUCUUUCUCUAGAUCGAUAUGCCAAUAGCAAGAUUCUGUGGACUUUCCAAGGGAGGUUCCGGAUUGCUCCCAAGAUGACAGACAGUGUGAAGAAGAGCAGAACAACAGAUGUUAUUCUUUCAGCUUCAAGUGGUGAGCGAGAUCCACGUGAGCAUUGGUUCUAUUUAGUGCGUGAGGAGGCUGCACAAGUUGCCUUCAAUAAGCAUGGUCACUGCAUCAUCGAUCCAGGGAUUGCUACUAACUGUGUUUUGUAUGCACUUAUACUAUCCUGGUUUGGCCUUCGCAUCAAUGACUAUGACUGGGCUAACCACAGCAGUAACUAUUGGGUAUGUGAUGGUGUCAUUGCACUGACAGACAUUGAUAAAGCAUGGCAAGUUGGCAACGUUUUGCAGCAUGAGGUGCCAUUGUUGCACAUUAACACCCGACUCAACAAGGAUGAAUCAGCAGUAAUGGCUUCCUACCACCCAGCAAGGUCGGCUGAGCUCAUGCCGUAUUGGACUACCACAACAACUUCGACUUUUGGAUUUGUAGUGAGCCCAUGUGGUGUUAUCCCCAAUAACACGUUUCGGCACUCACACAGGCUCGGCGUGCUCAAGCUCUCAAGGUGUGCCUUCAGUUUCUCAUCGCCUCCAUUCCUCUAUUGCCAAGGCCUGAGAUUCCUAUGGCUUGACCACUGCCAAGACCUCCCAACGAGAAGCACCACAGAUCAUCACCAUACCGAGGCAGACAAGGAAGAUGAGUUGGACAGCAACACCACAUCAUUAUGGGAAUGCUUCAGAAGCUUGUGGGUGCUUGACCUGCGCUGCACAGAUUGUGAUUGGAUCUUGUCUGCACGGAUGAUGGAUCUCAUGACCCAGCUCAGGGAGCUAAAUGUGAUGGGUGCUGAAAACUUGGACAUGAGCCAUUUGCGAGGACGAAUGCGUAACAUUCGCAAGCUCCGGGUAACAAAGUCCACCUGCUUCUUCAGCAACCACGUGUUCUCAGAAAUGGAAAGCAUGGAGCUUCUAGUAUUUUCAGGAAAUUACCUCGAACAACACAUGCUAAGCUUAUCUGUGUCAGCCAGCAACAGUCGACUUAAAGCUGUCAUUGUUGAUGGAUGUGAUGGGUUAAAAGUUGUCACUUUUAGGGGCUGCAAAGAAUUGGAGAAUCUAUUCAUCAAAGGAUAG